rnacentral:rRNA from 2 species
UACGGAGGGUGCAAGCGUUAUCCGGAUUUACUGGGUUUAAAGGGUGUGUAGGCGGACUUUUAAGUCAGGGGUGAAAUCCCGAGGCUCAACCUCGGAACUGCCUUUGAUACUAUUGGUCUUGAAUCUUGUUGAGGUGGGCGGAACGGGUCAUGUAGCGGUGAAAUGCAUAGAUAUGACCCGGAACACCGAUUGCGAAGGCAGCCCGCUAAGCAAGCAUUGACGCUGAGGCACGAAAGCGUGGGGAUCAAACAGG